AUUGAACGCUGGCGGCAGGCCUAACACAUGCAAGUCGAGCGGAGCGGCGGACGGGUGAGUAAUGCCUAGGAAUCUGCCUGGUAGUGGGGGAUAACGUCCGAAAAAGGGCGCUAAUACCACAUACUAUCCGAUGAGCCUAUGUCGGAUUAACUAGUUUGUGGGGUAAAGGUAUACCAAGGCGACGAGCCGUAACUGGUCUGAGAGGAUGAUCAGUCAAACUGGAACGGAGACCCGGUCCAGACUCCUACGGGAGGAAGUAGUGGGGAAUAUUGGACAAUGGGCGAAAGCCUGAUCCAGCCAUGCCGCGUGUGUGAAGAAGGUCUUCGGAUUGUAAAUCACGUUAAGUUGGGAGGCGUUACCAACAGAAUAAGCACCGGCUAACUUCGUGCCAGCAGCCGCGGUAAUAC
rnacentral:rRNA from 1 species